AUGCCAGCGACCUCGUCGCCGUGCGCCGUUCUCCGCCCUCCCCCCACCGCCGCCGCUCCCAGCCUCUCCCCCUCUCCUCCUCCCACCCAAUCUCCCUACCCGAGGCCCCAAAUCGAGCAGCAGGUCAGGCCGCGGCCAGAUCCACCACGGCCGCCGCGGUGCGUCCGGAUCCGCGCCGUCGUGACGCGGCGGAAGUGCUCGACGGCGGCCACGUCUCCCUCGUCACUCGCGCUCCAGGAGAGGAGGAGGCGAUGGCCACUGCUGCCGUUCUCGGGCGACCACGCGGCUCCUCUGCUCCGACCCUAUCAAGGCCUGGAGGAGGUGCAGGAGAUGCAAAUCUUCGGCCCCAACAAGCUCCUGGAGGACAGCAAGUUUCUUUCCUGGGUCCAACGCAGACGCAGGGGCAAUGAUGAUUGA
rnacentral:rRNA from 1 species